CCCGGCACAAGCGGUGGAGCAUGUGGUUAAUUCGAAGCAACGCGAAGAACUUACCAGGCCUUGACAUGCAGAGAACUUCCAGAGAUGGAUUGGUGCCUUCGGGAACUCUGACACAGGUGCUGCAUGGCUGUCGUCAGCUCGUGCGUGAGAUGUUGGGUUAAGUCCCGUAACGAGCGCAACCCUUGUCCUUAGUUACCAGCACGUUAUGGUGGGCACUCUAAGGAGACUGCCGGUGACAAACCGGAGGAAGGUGGGGAUGACGUCAAGUCAUCAUGGCCCUUACGGCCUGGGCUACACACGUGCUACAAUGGUCGGUACAAAGGGUUGCCAAGCCGCGAGGUGGAGCUAAUCCCAUAAAACCGAUCGUAGUCCGGAUCGCAGUCUGCAACUCGACUGCGUGAAGUCGGAAUCGCUAGUAAUCGUGAAUCAGAAUGUCACGGUGAAUACGUUCCCGGGCCUU
rnacentral:rRNA from 1 species